rnacentral:rRNA from 1 species
UACGGGGGGAGCAAGCGUUGUUCGGAUUUACUGGGCGUGAAGGGCGCGUAGGCGGCCACCGCAAGUCGAUUGUGAAAUCUCCGGGCUUAACCCGGAAAGGUCAACCGAUACUGCGGGGCUAGAGUGCAGAAGGGGCAACUGGAAUUCUCGGUGUAGCGGUGAAAUGCGUAGAUAUCGAGAGGAACACCUGCGGCGAAGGCGGGUUGCUGGGCUGACACUGACGCUGAUGCGCGAAAGCUAGGGGAGCGAACGGG